rnacentral:rRNA from 1 species
CCUACGGGGGGCAGCAGUGGGGAAUAUUGCACAAUGGGCGCAAGCCUGAUGCAGCCAUGCCGCGUGUGUGAAGAAGGCCUUCGGGUUGUAAAGCACUUUCAGUCAGGAGGAAAGGUUAGUAGUUAAUACCUGCUAGCUGUGACGUUACUGACAGAAGAAGCACCGGCUAACUCCGUGCCAGCAGCCGCGGUAAUACGGAGGGUGCGAGCGUUAAUCGGAAUUACUGGGCGUAAAGCGUACGCAGGCGGUUUGUUAAGCGAGAUGUGAAAGCCCCGGGCUCAACCUGGGAACUGCAUUUCGAACUGGCAAACUAGAGUGUGAUAGAGGGUGGUAGAAUUUCAGGUGUAGCGGUGAAAUGCGUAGAGAUCUGAAGGAAUACCGAUGGCGAAGGCAGCCACCUGGGUCAACACUGACGCUCAUGUACGAAAGCGUGGGGAGCAAACAGGAUUAGAUACCCCCGUAGUC